UACGGAGGGUGCAAGCGUUGUCCGGAAUCACUGGGCGUAAAGGGCGCGUAGGCGGCGCGGGGAGUCAACGGUGAAAGCUCGGCGCUCAACGCCGAGUCGGCCGUCGAUACUCCCGUGCUCGAGCACUGUAGAGGCAGGUGGAAUUCCGGGUGUAGCGGUGGAAUGCGUAGAGAUCCGGAAGAACACCGGUGGCGAAGGCGGCCUGCUGGGCAGUAGCUGACGCUGAGGCGCGACAGCGUGGGGAGCAAACAGG
rnacentral:rRNA from 1 species